UUACUCCUACGGGAGGCAGCAGUGGGGAAUUUUCCGCAAUGGGCGAAAGCCUGACGGAGCAAUGCCGCGUGGAGGUGGAAGGCCUACGGGUCGUCAACUUCUUUUCUCGGAGAAGAAACAAUGACGGUAUCUGAGGAAUAAGCAUCGGCUACCUCUGUGCCAGCAGCCGCGGUAAUAA
rnacentral:rRNA from 1 species